UAUUGCACAAUGGGGGAAACCCUGAUGCAGCGACGCCGCGUGGGUGACGAAGUAGUUCGGUAUGUAAAGCUCUAUCAGCAGGGAAGAAGAAAUGACGGUACCAGAGUAAGAAGCCCUGGCUAAAUACGUGCCAGCAGCCGCGGUAAUACGUAGGGGGCAAGCGUUAUCCGGAACUACUGGGUGUAAAGGGAGCGUAGACGGUGAUGUAAGUCUGGAGUGAAAGGCGGGGGCCCAACCCCCGGACUGCUCUGGAAACUAUGUGACUGGAGUGCAGGAGAGGUGAGCGGAAUUCCUAGUGUAGCGGUGAAAUGCGUAGAUAUUAGGAGGAACACCAGUGGCGAAGGCGGCUCACUGGACUGUAACUGACGUUGAGGCUCGAAAGCGUGGGGAGCAAACAGG
rnacentral:rRNA from 1 species